rnacentral:lncRNA from 1 species
UCUGCAAGAGCUUCAUCUAUUUGGCUUUUUGUUCUGGAUGGUCGUCGCGGUCGUCGCGUUUCAUGGCGUCGGGGUGGUGUUGGUGGUGGUGGUGGUGAUGGUGGUAGCGAUGGAGGUGGAGAUGGACGUGGUGGUGGUGGUGGUGGUGGUGGUGAUGGUGGUAGCGAUGGAGGUGGAGGUGGAGGUGGGGGUGACUGAGGCGGCGGCGAUUCAUAUGGGUAAGCAGAAGAUGAAGUAGCAGGGAAGCCGUAGUUGGAAGUAAACCAAUGAGGGCAAUGGGGCGGAGAAGAGAAAGACAAGUAGUAGAGAGGCGGUGGUCUUUGCUGGCAAGAGGGGCACUCUAGUAUGCAUGUAUCGAUGCCAGCCAUUUUUGCCUUCUCUCUGCAUCGUAUGGACAAUAUUUUCAAAUAUUUAUAGAAAUAUUAAAUUUUGAAAAAGACAAAGAAAUUACUAUGGAAAAUAUGUAAACAAUAUGCACGUCUCAGUCAGUGUUAGUUGAAUUUAUUAAAAAAACAAUUAUAAUAAUUUUCUAUAUUAUUAUUUUACAUUAAUUAAAUAUAAAUUUAUUAUGUUAAUUCAUGAAACAUCUAGUUCAAUAAAUUAUUUUUACCAAGUAUUUAUAUUUCUAUAUAUAUAAAAAUGGAACUGGAAUAUUAGAAUUUUUCAAAACCUAUAAAUUAUUUACAACAGUAAUUUUUCAAAAGUAAUUAACAUUUCUAAACCCCUGUCCAAAUUAAAGGCUUAUGACAAACAUAAGUAUCUUGAUUUUAGUAGAUUCAUAUUUUAUAUAAUUGAUCAUUUAGACUAAAUAUAAUGUAAUAUAUAAGUAAAAUUUACCUACAAUAAAAAAAUUAAUUUAGUCUGGCAAGUAUAUUUCAGUAAAUAAGAGAGAUUUCAGAUUUUAUUUUUUGAUUCUCGAUUUCUAUUUAAAAAAAAUUAAAACAAAAAAAUUAAAUGUAUAGAGUAAAUAAGUAAUUAAAUGCAAGUAAAUUAAUUAAAUGAAAUGAAAUAAAUAAAAUUAUAUUAAAAUCAAUAAAUUAAUCGAGUAUUGAAACGACUGGUGUGAUAUUUUUUUUAAAAUGAGAUUAAAAUUUUAAUUUUCAUUAAUGAAUUAAAUAUUAUCGACUUUUUAAAUUUUUACGAUUAAUGUGUUCAAUUAAUAUUAUUUUUAAUUUAAAAAAAAUUCUAUUAAUCCUUAUAAACCCUAAUUUAUCUCUAAAUCUACAUAUUUAAGUUUAAAUCCAAAAUUACUGACACUGCAUUGUAUGCAAAUGGAGUAUCUAUCAUCUCAAACUCGGCAUAUAAUUCUCGCUUAUACUUUUUGUCACUCGGUGCCAGAAAAUGUUGAUGGUAUCCAGCACUGUUAUAGUUUUAUCUCCUAAUCCUGCUAAAGAAUAAAAAACUCUGAUAAGACUGUUUUUAUCCAAGUCCAAUUUGAUAAAAACAUUUAAGAUAAGAAAGCUAACAGAACUAUUUGUAUCCACUAAUACCCGCCUUAUAAAGGAUCGUAACGACCAAUGAGUUAUUCUGAAAGAAUUUAAUCGCUUUAUCAGCAGAAUCGAAUCUUACCUUCUACUUGGUUUAUGAUUCUUGAUCGACAGAUAGAAUAUCUUCGACUACAUGCUUAUUUUUUCCUUUGCCUUUUAUCAAGUCCUCUCUUAAUGAUAUAUACAAUUCCGACCAUUUAAAAAGUGGAAGGAGAAAGAAAUAUUUUUUUAUGAGAAAAAGAGUAGAAGACCAGUCAUAAUCCAAAUGAAUGGAAGAUUUAAAGAAUUUUUUGACAACGGAACCACAUAAUGUUAUUGAACUUAAAUUGAUGAUAUGGCCGGAACAGAGUUAGAUUGUGAUUGGCUCAUUUUGCAAUAAAAAGAAUAUGAGGUGGUGGGUAACCACGACAGUCACUCCGACGCUCAAAUCAGUAAAUUGAAGAGAAUGACGAGUAUAAUAUUUAGAACUCAAGAGUAGUAUGAGAAAACAAUGUAUUUUUAUCUCUAUAAUUUUUUUUCCUUUUAUAUUGUAAGAGGGUAAAGAUAAACAUGGUAUUUUUCGAUAAAUCGGAGGUGAUGUGACCGACUACUUUAUAAGGAAUAUCGCCAACUAAUGGAUAAAAAAUCUCAUGAUUACAGAUAUAAUAAGAAUAUACUAGACUAUCUCCACUUAAUGAUAAUUUUAUAUCGAGAUUUACCUUAUCGAAAAAAGGAUAAUUUUUUUAUGGUGAAUCAUCAAUUAAAGUGUAAGAGCCUUUUUUUUUUAUAAAUUGAACCGCCUUAUCUAUUUAUUAAAUAUUUACUACAUUAAUUUAUCUUAUGGUAUCAGCUCAUAUUUUACUUUAGUCGAUUGUUAUGUAACAUCAAAUAAUAAUAAUAAAAAAAUAAUCAUUUAAAGAUAUACACCUUUUUUAAAUGUAUGGUGAUAAAUAUUUAUAUUUAUUUAAAAGUUUAUUUAGGAUUAAAGUUAUUUUUUUAAUUAUUAUUUUAUAUACAAUUAAAAAAAUUUAUUAUUUUGAAUUGAAAAUUAAAAUUAAAUAUUUUUAUUCAGCUAAAAAUGUUAAAUCCACCUUAAAAAUAAUUCUUUUUCUUUACUAAAUAUAAAAUUAAAUUAAAUAAAAUUUAUAGAAAAAUAUAAACUGUUUUCAAAAUUUUAAAAAGACAUAACAAAAUUUUAUUAUUGUUGUCUUUAUCAGAUCAUCAACUUGACAUAAAAAAACUCUUGUCAUUUUAAUGAUAAAAUAGAUUAAUUCAAUUGCAAAUUAGUUUAUUAAUGUAAGUUCUUUUGCAGCUUAAUUAAAAAAAAUUGCAAAUUAGUUCAAUUUAAUCUAUUAACCGGCUGGUCUAAUUUCAUUUUGAAAAAUACUGAAAUUCAAUUAAGGCAACUUCGUUUGUGGAAGAUUCCUAUACAUAUAUAAACUUUUUGGGUUGACCAAGACGAUGACUCAUACAAUGUUAUUGCAAAAAAAAGUAAUAAAAUUAUUGCGGAGUUUUUAUUUUUAUUUUUUUUUCUGAAAAGUAGUCAAAAUUUUCAAUUUUUUAAAUUAAGUUUUAUAAAUUUAUUUUUGUUAAAUUUUUUAUAUUGCUUUAACCAUAACCUCAGCCAUAAAAUAUUUUUGUAUGCUUUCAGUAUAUGUAUUCAUUCAAUUUAAAAUUGAUAUAUUAUUUAAAUUUAAAAAAAUUAAUAUUUAAAAUAUAAUAAAAUUUAUAUAUUAAUAUCAUAUUUUUAAUUAAUUAAUUUAUACACACGGAUAUGCAAAAAUUUAUUAACAUUACACUUCAGAUUAUUAACUUUACAUAAAUUAUAUUCUAUCAUUAUCUACAUCGGUUAGACUUAACAUUUAUCAUCACUAUUUUCUGAAUUAAUAAUUAUAAUAAAAAUGAUUAAAACAAAAAUAAUUACAUUAAAAAUUUGAGAAAACUAAGUUUACUUUAUAUAUUUUUUUAUAAUUUAUAUUCUAAUUACAAAUAUAUGAAUAAUUAUCUUUAUCAUAACAUUAUCCUUAUAUAUGAUAGUAAUCUAAUGCACUAUUUUCUUUAUUAGUAAAUUUCAUAUAUUGAUUUAAGUAUCAGCAAAAUUAUUAAAAUAUCCGUGUUAUCUCCUAUUUUGUAGGUUUAUAACUGAAAAAUUAUGAUUUGAACAAUAUUAUUGGUGCUGCUUAUAAAAAUCGAUACAAAAAUUUAUAUAUCUCGCUUAUACUUUUUUAUUAUUAAUAUUUAUAAUAGAAAUUUGAUCCCGCGAUAAACAAUUUUUAUCAUUAAAAGAUUAUUUUCCGUCAUGCAAAACUUAUGUGACAGCUUUGCAAUGAAAUUAAUAAUGUGAUUGAUAUGUUCAUUGCAAAUUUUCUGUGACUGAAUUUGUAUCUGACACUACUAUAGCUAUGGACUUUAUGAUGGCAUUGCUAAAUCAGUAAUGAAAUAUCACUGUCGCUAAAUGACAUACAUUGUUAAUUUUAAGUAUCACUCUAAUCCCUUAUUAAACAUAAAAUUUACAAGAUUUAUUAUUAUAUUAAUAAUUUAAAAAAAAGUCAUAUUUUUUUUAAAAGAAGAGAAAGAGUAAAAAUAUAAAUUAUUUUAUUGUAAAAUGAUGAUGUUUACACGCAUCCACCAAAUGAUAUUACGUGCUUAACAACGAGUAAUGAGUAAUAAUUACUUUCCACUUUUAUAUUUAUUUUUCUAUUUAAACUCUGCAUUAACCUUAAGACCAUAUGUUAUUAUGAGUUAUCUUAUGCAAUUUUAAUUUUUGUGAUUUUAUAUUUUAUAUAAGAAUUAAUUUGUCAGAUGAGAUUUAACGGUUAUGUCACCUAUAAAAGAGGCACAACCCUAAAGUGACUACGUUUUACAAAUCAAAAGAGUGCUAGUACGUUCCACAAAUCGAAAGACUCUUCCUCAAAAUCAAGUGACCUACUGCUCACUUAGACGAUAUAAAAGCACCUCUAGGUGACAUAAGAGCUCCUCUAUGGGACGUAAGAGCGCUCCUAGGGGAUGUAAGAGCACUCUUUCAGGCAACCAAUUAUUCAUUUAGGCAACGUAAGAGCGCCUUUAGAUGACGUAAGAGUGUCCCUAAAUAACGUAAGAGCACCCUUUCAAGCAAUCAAUUGCCCUCUUAAGCCAUUUGCAUGCUCUCAUCAACAAUUAAUGCCCAUGUAACUUCUCAUGAUGUUAGCAUAGUAUCAUAUCUUAUCAAAUGUUAGCACAGUAUCAUAUCUUAUCAAUGCCAAGCUAUCAAAAUAUAUGGGAAUAUAAGUCAAGUGAUAUUUAUUUAAUUAUACAAAUUCAUCUAUUGAAACACUUAUAUUUUAGUUACAUAUUGACAAUUUUAGUCCUCUCAUACGGAUUAAAAUGCACCUAGGGCUAUAAAUGAGCCAAGCUAUUCGUGAGCUACUCGAGACUCGACUCGAUAAAAGCUCGACCGAUCGACUCGUUUUUUAAACGAGCCAAGCUCGAGCUCAAUUUUGAGGCUCGUCACUUAAACGAGCCGAGCUUUAGCUCAAUAGUAUUCGGCUCGUUAAGGCUCGCGAGCUGGCUCGUUUUUAGACUCGCGAGCUGGCUCGUUGAGAAGGCUCGCGAGCUGGCUCGUUGAGAAGGCUCGCGAGCUGGCUCGUUGAGAAGGCUCGCGAGCUGGCUCGUUGAGAAGGCUCGCGAGCUGGCUCGUUGAGAAGGCUCGCGAGCUGGCUCGUUGAGAAGGCUCGCGAGCUGGCUCGUUGAGAAGGCUCACGAGCAGACUCGUUCAAUAGGAUCGUGAGUAAUAUUGUUUAAAUAAAUUGGUGAACUAAUUCGUUAAAUAAAUUUAUGAAUAAGUUCAUAUAUUAUUAAAAAAAAUAAAAAUAACUAUAAAGUUAUAAAAUUUAAACUAUUAUAAAUACUUGAAAAUUAUAGUAUUGAAAAUUAUAAAUAAUUAAGAUUAAUUAUUAUAAUUAGUAUUCUUUAAAAUUAAAUUAUAAAAAUCUUUUGUAUAUAAUUAUUAUAAUAAGAUUCAAUAAAAUUAAUGUAUAAUCACAAAUAAUUAAUAUUAAUUAUUAUAAUAAGUAUUCUUUAAAAUAAUAGUACUACAUGAUAAAUUGAGUUGUAAAAAUUAUAUACAUUUUAAAAUUAAAGUAUAAUUAUAAAAUUUUUUUGUAUAUAAUUAAGCAUACAAUAUAAAAGAUGAUAAUAAUUAUCAAAGUAUAUUAAUAAUAAUUAAUUAAGUAAACAAUGUAUAUUAAUCAAGUAUUUUUUAGUUAAAAAUUUUAACUAAACAUUAUUGAUUAAAGUAUCAAAGUAUUAUUGGUUAAAAAUAAUAAUUAUCGACAAUAAUUUUUGAUUUCUGACAUUUCGUUUUCAAAUUUCAUCUUAACCAAGUAUUAUUGGUUAAAAGUUUUAACUUAAAAAAAUAUAAUCAGUCAUAUAUCAAUACUAUAAAUAAUUAAAAAUUAUAUUUUUAAAAAUUCCAAAUAAUAAUUACUUUUUAAUAUUAUUAUUCAAGUAGUAUUACCUGAUAAAUUAAAUUGUAAAACUAGAUACUUUUUAAAAUUAAAGUAUAAUUAUAAAAAUCUUUUUAAACUAGAUACUACUAUAAAUAUUUAAUUAAUCAUUAUUAAUAUAUUUAUAUAAUUAUUACUAAAAAUUUAUAAUUAUUAAUAUUAUUCGAGCUUUUUUAACGAGUUUCUUAAUCGAGCUUUUCGAGUUCAAGCUCGAAUUUUAUUAACGAGCUUCUUAAUCGAGCUUUUCGAGCUCGAGCUCGAAUUAGGCUCGUUAUUAAACUGAACGAGCCUUUCACGAGUCGAGCUCGAAUCAAGCUCGAUUAUAAUAUUUAAUUUUCGAGCCGAGCUCGAAUCAAAUAUUAGAGCUCGAGUCGAGCUCGAGCUUCCAAACUUUUUUAAUAAACGUACUUGAGCUUUACAAAACUCGGCUCGGCUCGGUUCGAUUACACCCCUAAAUGCCCCCAUAAAACAUCAUUACCGUAAAAUAAGUAGCAAAAAAACUAAGGCCUCCAAAAAUGAAAAUACAAAGCGACAGGUUCGUCAAGGGAAAAGUCAAAACAAUCACAAAAGUAAUUUAUCACUAAAUUCCCGUAAGGCGAUAAGUUCGUCAAAGAGAACAAUACAGUAUCAAACCUAAAAAUUCGACCACUGUAGAAGAGAUUAUUGAUGUAGAUCAAUAUUAAAAUAUAUUAAAUUUAGGUCUCAAUAACCCAUCAACUAUUCUGGUAUACUAUAACUUCUAAUAAAGUGAUAGAAUUUUCAUUACAAUAGGGUAUUAUCCAUAUCAGAAUAUCAUUCUUAUUUGAUAGGAUCCCAUAUCCUAUCUUAUUUAGAACUUUAUAUCCUAUCUUAUUUAAUUUUAUAUCAUAUUCAAAUUCUAUCUAACACACUAUAUAAGGAGUUCAUAACCUUCAUAAUUUAAUAUACUAUUCUCUCUAUUAGUAAAUUUUAUAAUUUACUCACUACAUAUAUUGGCUUAAACAUUAAAGAAGUUGUCAAAACAAUCCAUCCGGUGUUCUCUUCUAUUUUACAUGUUUAUAACCUAAGAAUUAUAAGGUAAAUAACAUCAAUUAUUAUUCAAUUAUGUGACUUAAUUUAUAUAUCUAUAAUAUAUAGAAUUUAUUUGAAAUUCAUUUAAAAAUUUAAUGUUUAAAAUAAAUGGAACAAAAAAUUAAAAUAAAUUUAUAUUAACAUAGAAUCAUUAAAAGACGAAUAGUAUUCGGUUUAAAUUGAAAAAAAAUGACCUAAUUGAAUUAAUUUUAUAAUUUAAUUUGAUUUUUUAUUUUUUUAAUUUAAUUUAAUUUUUAUUUUAAAAAAUUUUGAUUAUUUCGAAUCGAUUUUAAUAAAAAAAAAUCAAUAAAAUUGAAUCAAACUAAAUAAUGAGAAAUAGUAUAUUAUUUUUAAUAGUAUAGGGAGAUUAGAUGUUAACAAGAUUGAAAUACUUCAAUCAAAUUUUAUAAUAUUAAAAGUAAGGUGUAAAAAUUAAAAAAUUUAUCUGAUCAAAUCAAAUUAAAUUAAAUUAAAUUAAAUUAAAUUAAAUCCAACUAAUUCAAUUCAAAUUGAUUUUUACUUAAAAUUAAUUCAAUUCAAUUUUUAUAAAUAUUAAAAUUUUAAUUUUUUAUUUACUACAAUGAUUAUUUUUUAUAAUAAUAUUACUUGAGAUUAUAAGAAUAAUAGAAACUAUAAAUAUAUGGGAAUAGAAACAACAAAGACUUACUAUAUAAAAAUUUUAGAAUUAAAAUACAAUUUCUUAAUUUUAAAUUUUCUAUAAAUAUAUAAUUUAUUUACGUACAUAUUUGAAUCAUUUAUAUAUUUUCAUAUAUUAAUUUAUCAGUAGACCGUAUAAUAUUUAUAGUUUUUCUACAUACAUACUCAAUGAAGAAAUAAAAUUUACAGGUCACAUUCGGAGGUGUAGCUUAUAAUUUUUCAAAAAUGAUUGAGGGUUGUUGCGGUCUAAAUAAGAAAAAAAAAAGGCCACCUCAUUCGCUCUACAUGGAUCUACACGUUAACAUUCAGGUCGAUUCAAUUUAAAAUCAAAGCAAAUUGAAUAAAUUAUAUAUCAAAAUUUUAGUAUUUAUAAAAAUUAAAUCGAAUUAAUUUUAAUUAAAAAUCAAAUCGAAAUUAAAUCGAAUUAAUUUUGAUUAAAAAUCAAAUCGAAUCGAUUUGAUUUAAUUCGAUUCGAUUCAAUUUAAUAAAUUUCAAUUUUUAAUAAAUUUUUUUAUUUUUUACAAUUUAAUUAAAAUAUUUUAAUUUUAAUAUAAUUUAAUUUUUCUAUAUUAUUAAAAAAAUAUAUUAUUAUCACCAAUUAGUUCGGUUCGAUUUUUUUAAUUUUUUAAAUUAAAAUCGAAUCAAAUUAAUAUAAUUUAAAUUUUUAAAAUAAAAAAUUAAAAAUUAAAUUGAAUUGAAAUAAAAAAAUUAAAUUAAAUUUUAAAAUUAAUUUAAUUUAAUUAAUUUUUUUUUUAUUUAAAUGAAAUACUCCUACCUCUGUAUGGACCGCCAAGUAUGACGUUUUAUUGAUAAUGACAAAGGAAUCUGCACCCACAUCAUACAGGGGACCAAUAUUCCCUCUUUCUUUUUCUUUGUUUCUUCAAUAGUCAACUCUCAAGUCUAUAUAUAAAUAUAUAAAAAAAAUAUUUAUAUAUAUUAAUUAUGGUAUCAUUCGCAUGUUUAGGAUAAUUAGAUUUAAAAUAAUAAAAAUUCAGAUAAAUUAAUUAUGGUUCAUUGUCAUUAUAUUACUUAGUUUCUAUUUUAAAAUCAGUCGAUUAAUUAUUUUUAUAAAAUUAAAUUUUUUUAAUUUUUCUGUAAAAAAAUUAUUAUUUAUAUUAUUAUUAUUUUUUUCAUUUUUAUCAGUAAUUUCAUAUAGCAAUUUGUCUUCAUCAAAAUAUUAAGAUAAUUAAUUACGCCUCUUGCAUCAAAAUGUUAAGAUAAAACUAUAUUACCACAUCAUUAUCAUUAAUUAAAAAAUUACUGUUUUCUAUUAAAAAAUUUACAAUUAAAUUUCUAUGGUUUAUUUAUUUUUAAAAAUAUAUUAAUUAAUUCAUAUUUUUUCAAAUAGUUAAUUAUUUAAUAUUUUUUCAAAAUAUUCAUUUUCUAAAUAGUGACAUGAUGCUACUAUUCUGUCCAUAUAAUUAUUCAGUAUUGUAAUUUAAGGAAAUGACUGAAUAAUUAGCUCCUUGACAGAAAUUAAUUAUGAGCAAGUAUUUAAAAAAUUAAAUAAUAAUUUUCCCUCAACAGAAUAACAAAAGAUUUUAAGUUGAUCAGAAAUUUAAAAAAGCUCACACAUAUCUUUUAAUUAUAUAUAUAAUAUUAAAAAAAAAAAAAAAAAAACAAAUUGAUACAUAGAAAACAGGCAUCUUACGAUUUUCUAAAUAUCUAACAAGUGAUAUUAGAGUUUGGUUCAAUAAAGUUGAGUAUUGACGUAGUAUUUAAAGACACUAAAUGGUUGGAAUAUUUAAAGUUAUAAGGAUUAAAUAAUACAGAUAAGUAAAAUUAUACUAAAAAUUAGUAUAAUAUAAAUAAAUUCAAAUUAAUUAAUAGUUUUUUUAAUUGAGGGAUUAAAGAGUUGAAUUUAAAAAAAUAUAGAGAUGUUUUAAUUGAAUGUUUAAAACAAAGAUGAAUUAGUUAAUUUCAUAAUAAUUUAAGAGCUUGAUAAUAAUUUACCCAUAAAAUGAAGAAUUAAUGAGAUAAAACAUCCAAAGGAUAUGAUAGAUAAGUCUCCAGUAUAAUUUUUUUUUUCAUUCAUUAUAAACCACCGAAAUUGUUUAUAAAAGGGAAUUGUCCUUCAUUAAAGCUCACAGCAGAUGAAGCCUUUUAACUUUUUUUUUUUUGAGAUAAAAGGAAGAGAUUACACUGGGAUGCAGAGGAAAGAACAUGAAACUGAUACAAGGGAUUGCUAAGAAAAUUCAGGUCUUUGAGCGUGAUCGAGGCAAUAAAAUGUGUAGCAUUAUUUGCUUGUCUUCGAACAAGAAGAAAUUUGCUGAUAAGAAACUCAUUGCUACACCUUGAAUGUCAUGGAUAAUUCCUUGGAUAUUUGAGGGAGGAAGGUUGCCUUUGGUGGCUUGUAUCGUAGAUAGAGAGUCUCCUUCCACAAUAAUGUUCCUGAAUCCAUAAUUCCUUGCCAAGAUCACAGCAUCCCGACAUGCUAAGGACUCUAAAGUUAAAGGAUCUGAAAUAGCAGGUACUCUUCUACAACUCCAAUCCAUGAGUCGACCCAGGUGAUCUCGAGUUAUUGCUGCAAUUGCACCCAAAUUGCUUCUCUUUUUGAACUCCAGCAUCAAAAUUAAUUUUAUAACAUUAACCAGAAGGGGUGACCAUUGUUGGGCAUGCUUAGCCGCUGGUUGCCUCGUCGCUGGGGCUCUAAGUAAAGCUAAAGUGAACUCUUCCAAGUGAUUCAUUGCUUGUCUAACCAUGAAUCGGAAGUUGCUAGUGUUGAAAUACAUGAAGGUUCCUGCUUUAUAACUGCCACAGAAGAAAAAUAAACGUGAAGUAAGUUCCUUACCUGAAUCAUUUCGAUUGAGCUGUUCAGUAAUUCUGGACCAAUAAUAUUUUAUUGGAUGACAUGGAAGGAGGUUUGAUCUUAAUUGUAAGGGGGGACUGGAACUAAAAGCAUGCUCAGAAUGUGAACCAGAAUGCAUUGAAGUACUAGCAGUGAAGGCUACUUUCUCUUUCAUCAGUUCGAAAAUCUCAUGUUGUAAAGAGUUUAGCAUCGUAGUAAGCUCAUCUAUCUUGGUGGCUAUAUCAGGAGGAUCUAAAGGAUUAUCCUCUUCAAUGGUAAUCCCUUUUGCUGCAGCCAUCAUUCUUGUGUUUUAUACAAUUUUUUAUACUGUCCAGUAGUCUUGGUUUUAGCCUUAUACCAUUCAGGAUAACCUAUCAGCUUAAAGCAACCUGCCUUUGUGUGCCCAUCUAUAUUACAGUAGGUGCAGUGACCCUUUUUGGUGUUAAACCUCUUUUGUUUCCCUUGUGGAUUCCCUUGUGCCUUGUUACUAAGAUCUCCUUCUGUGACUCAAACUUGACAACCAUGGAGUAGGCUUUGUUUAUAGAUGGCAGUGGUUCAUCCCAAGGACUUGAUCCCUCACAGAUCCAAACACAUCAUUCAACCCCAUCAGAAACUGCAUAAGUCUGUUUCUAUUUGCUAUCUCAGCUAUAGCUUUGGAAGCACUAUAGAUACAUGGAGGUAGGGUCUCCAUGGACCCUAAUCCAUCCCAGAGCCUCUUCAACUUGGUGAAGUAGACUGACACAGAAGCAUUCUCUUAUGUAAUUAGGAAUAUUUUUCUGUAGAAUUGGUAGAUCAUAGGUCCAUUACACUUAUAAAAUCUCUUAGGGAUUUCCAGCAAAAUAUCUCUGGCAGAGGCAGUGUAGAUGAAUCCAUCCACUAAAUCUUUGGAUAUUGAGUUCAAGGUCCAUGAUGUGGCCAUAAAAUCACAUCUUUUCCACUGCUCAUAUGACGUGGAGUCCUUAAUAGGUGUCCAAACUGUUCCUUCGACAAACCCUAACCUCUGCUUGGCUUCUCAGACUAUUUUAAUAACCUUACUCCAAGAUUUGAAGUUAGUUCCACUAGAGAUGUAGAGACUAAGACUAUACUUGGAUCAUCGGAUGACUAUAGGCUAAGUAGAUCUCUGAUUCCUUGAAUGCUAGCCGGUCCUUUAUCAACAAUCACCAUAGAUGUUUGAUCCUUGCUGCUAUUUCACGCUCUAGUAUCCUUGUCUUGAGUACUAACACAGCACAUAUCUUGGAUGUAAGAAAAGACAAAUCGCCUAGUGUCAAAUCUUAGGCUUUGAUACCAUGCGAGAAACCAAAGAUAAAAGAAAAGGAAUCCUUUUAUUGAUUUUGUAAAAAUGAACGAUACAAGGUACAGAAGUAAAGCCUUUUAUAAUGUCAACGGCAAAGUUCAAAAGCAAUCCUUCUAAAAGAACACAAAGGACAUGCAAUUCUAAUUAUACAUGUUCAGUAAUUAAGCAACAAUAAAAGAAAGUAAAGGAAACUGGAAAAAAAAAAAAAAACAAUUACAGUAAAACUCAACAGGAAACAGAAAAAAAAAUUACAGUAAAACUCAACAGUAAUUCAAAUUCUUAACAAAAUUCAUUUUAUUAUGGAUAAUACUUUGAAUUUUCUUGUAUAUUAAAAAAAAUAAUUAUUAUUAUAUUUUUAAAAUUUGAUCUCACUAAUUAAAAUAUUUUUGCAGUUUUUAAAUUAUAUUAAAAUGCCCUACAAUUUAAUUUUAUUAGUUGAACAGGACAAUCAUCACUUUUAGUUCUUUUUACUGUUAGUGCACUAUUUUUCUUGAAGUCAAAAUAACAAUUCUUAUGACCAAAUUACCUUGUGCUUAACAAAUAUAACUCACCCUCUCUCCCUUACAAUUUCUUUCACUCUAUCUCUCUCUGUCUCUCAUUUUCACUCUUUCAUGAUCUACAUGAACAAGGUCUCACCCGCUCCGUCGAGAAAUAAAAGCAAAAUCUCAUUUCUUAAAUCCUUCCGCCAAUAAAUAAAACACUCGCUUUAGCACCCGAGCCCAUAUCGAUUCUUCUGCUGGUUUCUUUUCUGUGCUGCAUCCAUAACACUUUGCCUCCGUCAUGACCCUUAUAUGGAUUGACUUGAAACCCACAUAUAGUUAGUGCCUAUGAAUCAUGCUGCAUGACUUCUUAUGUUUUUGUAGUUUGUGCUUGAAAUAAAUAUAUAUAUAUAUAUAUAUAAAAGAUAAGCUUGUUUAACACAUGGUUUUCAUCGUUUUUUUAAGUGAGAAGAAUUACUCCAAUAUGGGUGGUCUUUGAUGAACCUGAAUGACCUUUUAGUUUUUAUUAUUUUUUAUUGAAAUAGCAGAGAUCAGCAGCUAAGUGCUGUGGUCCUUACAUGAAGUUCAAUAAAGCCACUCUUAGGUUUUUCACAAUGUCCUUCACUGCCGUGGAGAUUUCAGCUUCCAUACCUACACAUUUAUGGAAAUUGAUUAGAUGGGUACUCAACUAAAUCAUGGUUAAUUUGAAAAUGUUCGAUCUAUGAGAUCUAACUCAAGUUACCUUAGUGAUAGUGAUAAUAUCAACGGUGGAAUUCCCAAAAGGCAAGAACUAUUGUUGAUAGGUUCUCUGGUUCACUUGGUAUUUUUGGAACAACUCCCUAUUGUUUAUCCCAAUGGAUUCGAACAUAUCUUAAUCUGAAACUCUCACUUCAACCUCUAGAAGAGCUGAAUUGAAGGCUACGUCAGAAUUUUCAUCACAUGAAGGAGAGUCAUCAUCAAUAAAGACUCGAGACUUCUUCACUAGAACUACUGAUUCUACAGUUCUCUUCUUGGUCUGUUCCUCGAGUACUUUAUCUUGUUCUUAGAUUUGUUUUACAUACUUGAUAGCAUCUCCAAGGAGAGAAGCUUUGUCCAUCUUCAAGUUGUUUCACAUUCUUGAAGUUAUUGCACGAGGAUGGAUGCAUGAAAGUAGAAAUAAUAUAGUCAGUAUUUGAGCACAUUUUCUGCAUAUAGCGAAAGAGAAAAGAGAGAGAGAGAGCAAGAAAAUAGAGGAGAGAGGGGUGGGUUAUAUUUAUUAAUUAAAGGGUAAUUUGAUCGUAGGAAUCAGGGACGGUAUUCGAUUCAAACCGAAAAAAUCGAUCAAACCUGACGACCGCUGGGUUUUACCCUCUCAGUAUAAGGCCGGACCCUAAAGGUCGAGCUGACCCAAAGCCUAGGAAGCUUCUCUAACAGACUGAUCCAGCAUCCCCGACAGUGAUUCAGGCCCACGGAGCAGACCUAGUCACUCACGAGCUCAGGUCCACUCGCUACAAGCUCAACCUGAUGAUGUGACGUGAGGAAGGACGGUAAGCCCAGUCAUUUCACAGCCCUGCACUCACACGCGCCGGGGGGAAUUAAAUGGCUGCUUGGCGUGAAGAGAACGUCUGAGGCUUUCGUAUAUACAGAUUUGCAUGUCUCUACAGGCAACACAGUAGCAGAGAAGCUGUUAUGCGUCACUAGCAAACAAAAGGAAGGAAAGAUAAAAAGAGAGGAACAUCUUCCUCUCCACCUAAGCUUACACAAGUACGGUAAACCCUAUUUUCUUGAUCUCAGGACCUCAAAGAGAUAUGGGCAGAUCGGCAAAGCCAAUGAAGCGAUUUGAGUAAAAAAUAAUCUAAGUACAAAUCACAAGUGAGUUUCAUCCAUCACCGAGACACAUGUUUUCAUAUCGUUAUAGAAACUCAAGCAGUAGAGGGAAAAGACAGAGAAGUAAAAAGACAGACAAUACAAGCACGAAAAAGAAAGCAUAAUCUUUAUUUAUUUAUUUAUCAACUAUUACAUCUGGCAAAAUAAUACUAAGAGGUUCAACCUCAGUAAUUACAUUGUCAUCUACACUAACUAUGCUGCUGUCCUCUAGGAGUCCGGUACCCUUUGCAAGCAGCACGGCAUCAUCACCCUCAACUUGAGAUCCCUGAGGCACGUCACCCUCUUCUUGGGGUCUAGUUGGCAAGGUUGGAGCACCCUUGGGCAGGGGAUUAUCGUCCUCCCCAUAGCGCACCUCCUCCCUGUCGGAGUCUACUUCUGGGGCUCGGAUCCGAGCUAAUGGGGUGGAAGGGGUAUCCCUGGCCUCUUUCAGACCCUGGUUGAAACCGGAAGUGAACAUGCGGAAAGCCCUAUGCCAUAUCUCAUUUUUUAUCGCAUCAGAGGCUUUGAACUCCGCAAGUCGGGCUUCACAGGCCUCCCCGAUCUUGGCCUUCAGCUCAGGGGAUUCCUUGUACUCCUGUAAACACCACUGGCAUGCCUGAUCGAUCUCGGCUUUCAGCUUGGUAGACCCCUUAUACUUUUGUAGACGUUCCUCGCAUGCCAACCUGACCUUGUCCUCAGUAAGCUUAGCAUCCUCAAGCAGAGCAGAAUACCUCCCCUCUAGGACCUUAACUUCUUGGCAAAGCUGUUAGUUCUGAAGCUUUGAUCCCUCUGUUGCCAAGGCAAGGCCCCUCAGGUCCUCGGUGCGCUUGCUAAGCUCCUGCUCAAGGACGACAAUCUGAGCUAGGGCCUCUUCCCUCGGGGAUACAGUUGUCUCAAAAUGGGCCUGGACAUCAUCACAAUCCACCGGGCUGCCUCACACUAACGCCAGGCCUCAUCCCUGUCAUAAUGGGCACAGCGAGACUCUGCGGCCGCUGCCCUUUCGUCCGCCCUCCUAACAGCAUCCUGCGUCCAGGACAACUCCUCUUGGAGGGUCUUCAGAUGACCAUGAGUCGUGGCAAGCUGACCCCUAGUGUCAUUUGUAGCCGCGAGAUUUUCCUCAUGGUGGGCCUCCUCAAUUUGGUCGUCCACCGAGCUCCGAAGCAACUGAUCGCGAGCGUCGAUCUCCAUAAAGACGCCCAUCACCUAGCAGGAAAAUGAGGCAACAGAAUUAGAAAACGAUGGGAACAAGAGACAACCUAAAGUAAGCGAAAUAGCUUACCAUGAGGAGCAUCUCCCUAAUCGUGUCCCCUAACUCCCUUCGUGUCUGGGAGCGAAAAGCCACCUGUUCCCGAGUAGAGCAGGCUAGAAGUCCGGUGAGAGCCAGUAAGCAUGGGUCUGAGGCAUCAGUGACUCCGCCAAACAUCCUUUCCCACAACAGCUCGGCAACAAUACUCGUAGGAGAUUGGGGAGUGAUCUCCUCGGCAUUCAAGAUCUCGUUGUCCGGGGCAGAGUAUAACGGCUCCACAAACGUUUUUUCCUUCUCGAUAGGAGGGAAAGCGGGGGUAGGCUGCUUGGAAGCGCGAGCCUUCUUUGGGGCUAGGGCUGAGGCAGGAACCUCUGAAGGAGGAGCUCGCUUACCCGUGGCCCCCUUAACAAUGAUGCCACCAACAGUCGAGGUCUUCUUUGCGUGAGGAGCAGCUGAAAUGGCUUUGGCGUUUGCCAGGUCCUUAGAGAUAGCUUGAUCAGCAGGGACGAUCUCAGCCCCCCCAGCGGGAGCGUCUUCAAUAAACGGGGGAACCUCGGUUCUUUCCUGGGGAACACCUUCAGCAGUAAGAGUGACCUCAUCCUUCCCCUACAAGACGUCCUCAAAAGAUUUCUCGACGACAACGAGCUCCCGAGAGGUUGGGACAAAGGCUGGCUUGGACUUUGGAGCUCUAGGAGACCUGGAAGAAGAGUGAGAUCGGUUGCGACCGAAAGCCUUAGAAACUCCCGAAUGAAGAUCCUUGGAGCUAGGUGCCAAAGCACGGGAGGAGGUCGAGGCAGGAGGAAUAGCUCGACCAGUUGAAUGCUGGGAGAUGAUCUCGGCGACCUCCUGAGUCACAUCGGCCACUGACAAGCCAGCUCGAAAGGCAUCCAGAGCAGCCCUUAUGCUCUCCCGAGACAAGACAAAAUUUUUCGAAGGCUUGAUAUUCUCCAUAGGGAGCUUGGAAGCUACAAAGAAACAAAAAUCAAACGAGUUAGAAGCAUACCCAAUAGAGGAUGAAAAUAAGGGAAGAUAAGGGAAGAUAAUACAUCAACAAAGCAAAUACCGGUGUUCUUGCAGUCUUGGAGGCUAGACACAAACAUGCACUUCUCAACAUCAUACUUCCAUUUAACAGAAGUCAGUCUGAGAAGGCUGACCUGCUCGAAGAGAGUCAGCUGAGGAAGGUCAUUGCAGCCCAGGGGUACAUCCCUCCAGGGGAGAUCCACCUGCCAGGACAAACCCGGACCUCCUUUCAACUCUACCACGGCGAACCCCUCUACCCAGGCCUUGAUGGAAUUCUUGUGCCCCGAGAAGAUAGACAAUCCUCCUCGGGGAGAAAAAUAAUAAAAACAUUGACUAGCAUGAACCAGAUAGAAAAAGGUGGAAAACAGACGAGCUGUGGGGGUGAAACCCCAGCUCAGAUAGGCAGACUCAAAGGAACACAUGAAGAGAAUCGAGUUAGGGGCAAGCAUACGGAGAGUUAUCCCAAAAUAUCGAAAAACCUCGUUAAAGAACGGAGAAAAGGGAAAGGUUAAGCCAAACUCGCAUUGUUUAAUAAAGAAAACUAGACUACGAUCUCUCUGAGGAUCAAUAAGGCCAAAGGGAGGAGGAUCGGGGAGAACGAUCCUCUCGUUAUGAUGAGGAGCCCUAAUCCGAAACAGAGGAGUAUCCAAAUAUUCUCGAGAAAAGAGGGUUGCGAGGGAAGAAGGGGUGACAUUAGACUCUAGGUUCAAUACAUCAGGAAGUUUAGGACCUUCCAUGGCAGAAUAGAAGACGUACCUUGAAGAUGAUUUCGCAGUAAAACUGGAGAAAUAAGGCGCACAGAGAGCAAGUAGAGAAGGAGAGUUCUGUAAAAAUUUGGGGGUUUUGAAUUUUGAAAACAGUAAAGCAAGGAAGAGACGUUUUGAUGGGAACCGUCCUUGAGCCAUGCGGUCAUAAAGAGUCCUAGAAAUUUACCCUCUCAUCAUUCAUGCAAUAACUGCUGAGAAGGUAAAGGGACAAUUGAUGACCGCUGGGUUUUACUCUCUCAGUAUAAGGCCGGGCCCUAAAGGCCGAGCUUGCCAAAAGCCUAGGAAGCUUCUCUAACAGACCGGUCCAGCAUUCCCGGCCUUGAUUCAGGCCCACGGAGCAGACCAAGUCGCUCACAAGCCUAGGUCCACUCGCUACAAGCUCAGCCCGAUGACAUGACGUGAGGAAGGACGGUAAGCCCAGUCACUUCACAGCCCUGCACUCACGCAUGCAGGGGGAAAUUAAAUGGCUGCCUGGCGUAGAGAGGACGUCUGAGACUUUCGUACAUACUGAUCUGCAUGAUAGAGGCAGGCAGCACUAUAGUAGAGAAGCCGUUGAAAAGAGAGGAACAUCUUCGUCUCCACCUAAGUUUACACAACUACGGUAAACCCUACUCUCUGGAUUUCAGAACAUCAAAAUCGAAUUAAUUUGAAAAUUUAGUUUGAUUUUUUAUUCAUUUCGAUUCGGUUCGAUUCAAAUUUUAAUUUAAAAAAUUUCAGUUAUUUUGAUUUGAUUCGAUUUUAAUCAGAAAAAAUCAAAAAAAUUGAACUGAACCAAUUAAUGAUAAUAAUAUAUUAUUUUCAAUAAUUUAGAGAGGUUAGAUCAUAUUAAGAUUGAAAUAUUCCAAUUAAAUUUUAAAAUACUAAAAAUAAAGCGUAAAAAAUAAAAAAAUUAUUAAAAAUUUGAAUUGAUCAAACCAAACUGAAUCAGACUUAUUCGAUUCGAUUCAGUUUCUAAUUAAAAUCAAUUCAAUUCGAUUUUUAUAAAUAUUAAAAUUUUAAUUUUUAAUUUAUUCAUUUCAGUUUAAUUUUAAAUCGAAUUGAUCAAAUGCUUACUUCUAAUAGAAUUAUUAUUCUUACUAUCGACUAAAAAAUCAAUAGAAAAAGAGUGUACUAACCAUAAAAAAAAAUUAAAAAUAAGAUUGUCUUGUUAAAUUGAUAAAAUCAAAUUAUAAAAGCAUUUUAAUAUUAUUCAAAAAAAAAAUACAUUGACUCGCUUAUUUGUGUAGUGAAUUCAUGACGAAGCUGAUCUAGAUAAGUGUUUUUCUUUAUUGCCAAAGCACCUGUAGAGCGUCCAUAUAAACUUGUCAUGUACUUCUUUCUAGUAGAAUUAUGGUCUCCGAGGACGACUCCCUAGGGUUGAACCGCUUGAACGGGAUGAUUCUGUGUAAAUUUUCCAAUCCUCUUUCAGCGGCCUCAACCCCUGCGCCUCCUCCUCCUCCUUCUUCUUCUUCUUCUUCUCUUUCUCCUCUUCCUUCUUUGGCUCCUCUUUCUUCUCCUCCUCCUUUGACUCUUCUUUCUUCAGCACUUUUAUGGGGGGUUUGGGAGUUACAAGAUCAAAAAGGAAAGCAAAUAUAGUUGCAGUGGUUGAUGCAGAUGAGAAUAUCACUUGCAUUAUGUCUUUGAACUGAUUAAAGAAAACAAUUCAUCAACUAAGUAACAUGCUAUAAGAACUGAACAAAUUAACAAAUAUGAAUGAGGCAUGCAUACUCACCCAGGAGGCUCUUGAAUGAGGAAGACCUUCACCAGAAAAUAAAUCAUAAUUACUGAAGUAUUUAUUCAUUGAGAGACCCAUAAACAGUGAGAUCCCUAGAAUGAACUUCGACCUGAACUUAUCCAACUCGCAAUAAUACAAAUCUUCAAGCCCAGUUGAAACUGUUCAUUCACCCAAUGGAUCUCUGUCUCAGUCCACUCAUUAUUUUUGAAGUAUAUAAAUUCAAAUAAAACAAAGAAAGGGAUACAUACCCACAUAAGGGAAGAAGACAAUAUGCAGAGACGCCAGAAUUGGCAAAGGUACAGAAGCUAGAAUUGCAGUCAGUUUUCCUAUUAAUGACGUCAUAUGAUUUAAUUAUAUCAAACACCAGGCUCAACUUAGAAUUUUGUCAAUAACCAAAUAAAUCCUAAUAAUAAUGCUGCAAUUAAAUUUCAAUUUUCUAUAAUAAUAAUUUUCAAUUUUUUUUUGAAAGAUAAUAAUAAUAAUAAUAUGUAAAAGAGAUGUAAUUUGGUUAGAAAUACUAGACCUAGUGAGGAAAAGAGAAGCAUAAAAAUUGCUGAUACAAAAUUGAUCCUUAGGCUGCCUACUCUUGUCAACCCCACUAACCCUGAAUGUUCACUGCACCCACAAACAUCAGCUUCAUUUAAAAUAAAUCUUUACAAUAAAAAAAAUUAAUUAAAUUCUCAUAAAACUACAUUAUUUUUUUAUUAAAUAUUUUUUUAUUAAACUACAUUCUCAUAAAAAAUAUUUUUUUAUUAAAUAAUUUUUUUAAUGUUUAAAACAUUAAAAAAAAAAUUGUGAACAAUAUUUUCUUUGUAUUCUGAACAUGUAGAGCUUAAUCCUUACGCAGAAGCAGUGGAGCCAAGUCCCAUUCCAAAGACUGCAUCAAAUAAAGUUCCAAUUCCCUGAAAAAUUCAUAAAUUACCUGAAUUAGAAAAUAGAAGGGUCGAAUAUGGAUGGAUUUAUUAUUUAUUUAUUUUAAAAUUUAUUAUUUUUCCAAUUAAAAUUAUUAAAGAAAAUUAUUUGUUCAGAGUCCAUCAAUUACAGACAUUUUAUUUAUUAUCUUAACGGAAUUCAAAUAAAAAUAAAAAUAAAAAUUUUCAAUUGACUACCUGAAACCCAAUAGCAUGACGGAGUAGAUCAGNNNNNNNNNNNNNNNNNNNNAAAAAAAAAAAAAAAAAAAAAAACACUUAUCAACAAAUGAGAAGCAACACAGACAAUUUACUGAAUUUUCUUCAUUGUUGGCAAAAAGUUAGAAGAGAGAGAAGAGCAGAGAGAGAAGCGAGCGUUUGUGGGUUUUGUUUCACCAAAAUUUACUUUUUAAAAAAAAUAAAAUUCAUCAAUCCAAUCUUAAAUAAAUUAAAAUUACUUCUGAUUUUAUUUUUUUAUUUUUCUCAAUAAAUAUUUAUGUCAUUUUUAUUAUUAUUUUUUAUUAAUAAUAUUUCCUAUAAAAAAUUUAACAUAUCAACUCAAAUAUAUUUAAAAUAUUAUCUUGAGAAAUAACGUUAUUAGAAAUGUACUUUUUAAAAAUUAAACUUUCCUUAGAAAUAAAUUAUUUUAAAUUAAACGGAAACUUAACUAUAAACAAAUAAAAGCGUAAUUGCAAUGGACAAAAGCAUUAAAGUAAUCACACGUCACCUUUGUGGCAAUUGGACGAUUGAGUUUGGGGGGGUUUGCACGAUAUUCGCCUCCUAAUCUUGAUGACGUGGAAAAUGUACCGAUGCUCUGCAAUAAAUCAAUAACUCUGACUAAUAAAAAAAUAAUAAUAAAUUUUAACUUAUUAAUAUAGAAGUCUUUAAAUUAUAUAAACCAGUGUUUGAAUUAAUUAUAAAAAAAAAAACAGAAUAAAAGAGAAAUUGUUGUUGAUAUAGACGAUUUUAUUUGAUACUGUACGUAUAUAUCAACUUAAUGUAGUGUGGGAAAACUCAAAUCUUUUCAUUUUAAAAAAUAUCUGUUAGCUAAUUUUUUUUAUUAAUUCUAACAAUUAAAUAGUAAGAUUUUUUAUAUUAUAUAAAUUAAAUUAUUUUUUAUUUUUUUAAAAUAAAAAUUAAAAAUUAAAAAUUAAGAAUAUUUGAAUAUAUUUAUUAUUCGAGUAAAUAUGUGACUAUUUUUAUCGACUAUUUAAAUGUUAAAAAAAAAUUUCUGUUAAUAAAACCUCAACGGUGGCGACAACACAAGCAGCCAUCAUCAAAAAGGCAUCUCUAGCUUCAAAAGUGGGAUAGCCCCAUUGAAAUGGAAUUGGUAUCUUUAUCCUGCACAUAAUAAUAAUUCUAUCAAACUUAUUUUUUUUAAUAUAUAAAUUGAUUAUUAUAAUUUUAUUUAUAAAAAUUUUUUUAAAAAAUUUUUAAUAUUUAAAAUUUAAUAUAUUUAAAAUAAAUAUAAUUAAAAAAUUAUAAAUCGAAAACAGAGUAAUAAAUUAGCAGAAAUGAAUUUUCUUUUUCAAAGUAAAAAAUUAUAUAUNNNNNNNNNNNNNNNNNNNNNNNNNNNNNNNNNNNNNNNNNNNNNNNNNNNNNNNNNNNNNNNNNNNNNNNNNNNNNNNNNNNNNNNNNNNNNNNNNNNNNNNNNNNNNNNNUAUACAGGAAAUUACUUCUUUAUCCUUAAUUUUCAUCCAAAAUAACGUAUUAUGCUGUUUUAUUUUUAGAAUUUAAUAAUUUAAUUCUUAUAUUUUGACUUUAUAGAUUACUGCCCCUAAUUUUCUAUUAAUUAUAUGAAAAUUACUAAAAUUCCAUUAAAAAUAUAGUAUUUUUGGAUAUAAAUUAUGUCUUUUUAGAUAUAAAUAUUUUAAGCAUUGUAUUUUAAUUUAUUAAUUUUUUUAAAAAAUACUAUUAUUUACUAUGGACAAUAAGAUUUGCAAGCACGAAAAUGAAUUAGUUGGAGCUGACCAAGGUGCAGCCGGAAUGAGGGCAGAACGAUCAGUACGACAAGUCGUUUGUCUUUGUUGAGAAGCAUUAUCAAAUGCACCAACCGCUGUCAAAAUUUCUGCUAAGGUCCAUGCAAUUCCAAUGGAGACUGUGAUCAUAACUGAUCGAAUGACUAUAGGAUUUUUGGGUUUCCAAAGAUAUGGAAGGAACUGCACUAAUAAUAUUAUUAUAAAUUACUAUAUCAAAAGUCACCAAAUUUAAUACUUUCAUAAUUUAUGAAUAAUAAAUUAAUGUAAAACAAGUCACUGAUUACUUACCUGUGUUGAAAAGAUUACAAGAAAAACUGCUGGGAGUCCAAUUUCAAUACAUUUCGCCAUCUACAGAGAAUCAAUCAAAUAAAAGAAAUAUCAUGUGAUAUGUAUAAUUGAAAAAUUAUUAUUUAAUCCUUAUUAUUGAGAUAAUUAAUUUUUUUAUUUUAAAAAAUAAUUAAAAUAUUUUUAAUAUUUAAAAAAAUUAUUAGUUAAUUCUUUUAAUAAUUUUAGCUUUAAAUAUUUUUUUAUUUAGUUUAUAUAGUUUAAAAAAUUUAUUAGUUAAUCUUUUAAAUUUAUUUAGUCUUUAAAUAUGUUAUAGGUAACAGUUAAAGUAAUGUGAAAAAAAAAUUUUAUUUUAAUAGAUUUAAUCCAUGGCAAUUUUUUGAACUAAUGGAUAAAUGAUUGAAAAGUUUGAUAAUUUAGAUAGAAUAAUAAUAAAAAAUUUAAAUAUUUAAUUUUAAAAAUAUAAAAAUUAAUAUGUAAAUUAUUUUAAAAUUUAAAAAUAAAAUAUAAUUUAUCCUAAUAAUAAUUACUAUUUGACAUUAUUGUUGAAUAAGGUAUUGGUGUUAUCUGUGGAAAUCCACAGUCGUACAGAGGAAUCCUAAUAAUAAUAAUUAGUAUUUGACAUUAUUAUUGAAUAAGGUAUUUGAUGUUACCUGUGGGAAUCCACGGUCGUACAUUUCAAGUCCAGUGAGAGUCACAAGAGGGAUAGAAGAGAGAAGGCUAAGCUUGCUGCCAAUUCAUAACAUAUCCAAAUUAAAACUCUUAAUAAUAAUAAAAUUUCCCAAUAUUCACUAGAGUUUGUUUGAUAUAAAUAAAUUAAAUUAAAUUAUAUGUGACCUAAAUUCAUCUGAAAUUCACAUAUCUAUCUAAAUUUUAAAAAAAAAAAUUUCUAAAAAAAAAUUUUAAAUUUUAAAUUUGACGAAUCUGUUAAUGUUUUAUAAUUAUUGUGCUUGAAAUAAGCUCAUUAUUCUACCUUGCGAAGAUUUGGGCGAGACCAGAGAUACCAACGAUGAUUUGAAGGAAGGACCCAAUAAUACUUGCUCCUUGAAUGCGUCUCAUGGAUUUUUUGAACAUCUAAUGUUGCAUGAAACCACACACACAAAAUUAUAAUUGUAAUCACAAUAAUAUAAAUUAACUUUAGAGUUAAAAGUCGAUUCAAAUUAAAAAAAAGAUUAAAUUAAAUUAUUUUAAAAUUUUAGUUUAAUUUUUUAUUUAUUUUAAUUUAAUUUUUAAUUUUAAAAUUUUCAGUUAUUUCAAUUUGAUUUCAUUUUAAUUAGAAAAAUUGAAAAAAUUAAACUUAAUAAUAAUAUAUUAUUUUUAAUAAUAUAAAAAUAUUAGAGUAUAAUUAAAAUGAAAAUAAUUCAAUUAAAUUUAAGAAUAUUAAAAAUAAAAUAUAAAAAAUAAAAAUUAUAUUAAAAAACUCGACCGAUUAAAUUAAACUGAAUAUAAUUAAAUCAAACCGAUUCAAUUGAAAUUGAUUUCUAUUUAAAAUUGUUUUGAUUUUUACAAAUAUUAAAAUUUCAAUUUUUAGUAUAUUUAAUUCGAUUUAAUUUUAAAUCGAACUAACUGAAUAUUCUAUAAAUAAUUUAUUAAAAUUCUUAAAUUAUUUUAAAUCUAAUAAAUUAUUUGUUACCUAAAUUUAAACAUAUAAUUAAUUAUCAAAAUACCUCAUAAAAUAUCUCUAGGAUUGGCAACAUAGCUAGGUAACUCACCUGACGAGGAGUAAGAGUGGCACCAAAUUUAUUUGUAGUUGAUAUAGCAAUGGAGAUGGCAGGGUAGAUGAAAGCUUGUGAAAUUUGCAUCACCACAGGAAGUUGAGAACCGAACAAAAUCUGCAGCAACGUGUUUAUCGCUGCUGUAAACAGCGAACUUUGGAUUGCCUCCGCUUUAUCCACCUGAUUUGCAAUUGAAAAAAUAUUAAUUAUUUAUCAGCAAUUCAAGUUCCAAUCAGCUUUUUCAUGAAAACCUGUGUGAUAAUAGGUCUAGAUAAUUUUUUUUAUUUUUAUUUUCUGAUAAUACAGCUUACAUGGUCACCACCCAUCACUGUGGCUAGCAUGGAGGGAAUGAUCAUAGAAGUCCACACGAUCACUAUACUAAAUUGUAAUCCCAUGAAAUAAAGAGAUGGAUCACCUGCAUUCAAAUGAAUCCAGAUAAAUUAUUUAGUGCUUAGAAAGUACUGAAUAUAAUAUUUUAAUUCUUAAUUAAUUUGAUACAUAAAUUAAUUUUUAAUUAAUUAAAUAUAUAAAUUAAUUUAUGCACCAAAUACAAAAUUUUCUUGAUAAUUACAUAUUAUUAUCAACAUUGUUAUAAGAUGAGAUUAAAAACCACUUACCAAUUAAAUUAAUUCCUAUUGAUGAAAGAAAAUCAAGAGAUUAAAUAGUCUAAUUUUUCAAAAUAGAGAUCCAAUUGUUAUUAAAUAUAAAAUUUAGGGACUAAAUUAUAAAGUUCAGUUAUCAUUAUUGUUAUUAGGUAUGAAUAUGGAUGGGAUCAUGAAAGAAAACUUACUCCAUUUUGGAUUCUCUCCUAUGGGAAUUUCGACUUCAGUUAGACGGGGCUUCACCUGAGCCUGUCUUCUCCGAUAUUUUUCUGUAAGAGCUUCAUCUAUUUCCCUUUUUGUUCUGGAUGGUUGUCGCGGUCGUCGAGUUGCAUGGGAUCGUCGUGGUGGUGGUGGUUUCAAUGAUUGUUGUUGUGGUGGUGGUGGUGGUGGUGAUGGUGGUAGCGAUGGAGGUGGAGGUGGAGGUGGAGGUGGAGGUGGGGGUGACUGAGGCGGCUGCGAUUCAUAUGGGUAAGCAGAAGAUGAAGUAGCAGGGAAGCCGUAGUUGGAAAUAAACCAAUGAUUUUGGCAAUUAGGGCAACGGGGCGGAGAAGAGAAAGACAAGUAGUAGAGAGGCGGUGGUCUUUGCUGGCAAUAGGGGCACUCUAGUAUGCAUGUAUCAAUGCCAGCCAUUUUCG